rnacentral:rRNA from 1 species
GACGAACGCUGGCGGCGUGGAUUAGGCAUGCAAGUCGAACGGUAUCAUCCUUUCGGGGGUGAGAGAGUGGCGAACUGGUGAGUAACACGUAGGUUAUCUACCCUCAAGACGGGGACAACCCAGGGAAACUUGGGCUAAUACCGGAUGUGAGCAACUUUUAGUUGUUUGAAAGGUGGCGUAAGCUGUCGCUUGGGGAUGAGCCUGCGUCCUAUUAGUUAGUUGGUGAGGUAACGGCUCACCUAGGCAAUGAUAGGUAGGCGGCCUUAACGGGUGGUCGCCCACACUGGGAUUGAGAUACGGCCCAGACUCCUACGGGAGGCAGCAGUCGAGAAUAGUCUACAAUGGUCGGAAGACUGAUAGUGCGACGCCGCGUGAACGAUGAAUCCCUUCGGGGUGUAAAGUUCUUUUAUAUGUGAGCAGUGCUUCUUAUAUUAACAGUAUGGGGAGAGAGAUAUUAGCAUAUGAAUAAGCAACAGCUAACUCCGUGCCAGCAGCCGCGGUAAAACG